rnacentral:rRNA from 1 species
AGAGUUUGAUCCUGGCUCAGAACGAACGCUGGCGGCGCGUUUAAGGCAUGCAAGUCGAACGGUAAGGCACCUUCGGGUGUACACGAGUGGCAAACGGGUGAGUAACACGUGGAUAACCACCCCUCGAGUGGGGAACAACUUUAGGAAACUAGAGCUAAUACCGCAUGACAUCCUUUUUACACAUGUAGAAAGGAUUAAAGGAGCAAUCCGCUUGAGGACGGGUCCGCGCUCUAUUAGCUUGUUGGUGAGGUAAUGGCUCACCAAGGCUACGAUAGAUAGCCGACUUGAGAGAGUGAUCGGCCACAUUGGGACUGUGACACGGCCCAGACUCCUACGGGAGGCAGCAGCUAAGAAUCUUACGCAAUGGGCGAAAGCCUGACGUAGCGACGCCGCGUGGAUGAUGAAGGCCUUUUAGGUUGUAAAAUCCUUUUCUACAGGAAGAAUGUCUGUGAAAAAUCAGGCUGACGGUACUGUAGGAAUAAGCCCCGGCUAAUUACGUGCCAGCAGCCGCGGCAAUACGUGAGGGGCGAGCGUUGUUCGGAUUUAUUGGGCGUAAAGGGUGCGUAGGCGGAUGGGUAAGUUGGAUGUGCAAUCCCCGAGCUCAACUUGGGAACUGCGUCCAAAACUACUUAUCUUGAGUGCAGGAGGGGAAAUCGGAAUUUCAGGUGUAGGAGUGAAAUCUUUAGAUAUCUGAAAGAACACCGGCGGUGAAGACGGAUUUCUGGCCUGCUACUGACGCUGAAGCACGAAAGCCAGGGGAGCGAACGGGAUUAGAUACCCCGGUAGUCCUGGCCGUAAACGUUGUAUACUAGGUGUAUGAGGCAUCGAUCCCUCAUGUGCCAAAGCUAACGCAUUAAGUAUACCGCCUGGAGAGUAUGCCCGCAAGGGUGAAAUUCAAAGGAAUUGACGGGGGCCCGCACAAGCGGUGGAGCAUGUGGUUCAAUUCGAUGAUACGCGAGAAACCUUACCAGGGUUUGACAUCUACUGGACCCCCCGAGAGAUCGGGGUUCUCUUCGGAGUUAGUGGACAGGUGCUGCAUGGCUGUCGUCAGCUCGUGUCGUGAGAUGUUGGGUUAAGUCCCGCAACGAGCGCAACCCUCAUCAUCUGUUACCAGCGAGUUAUGUCGGGGACUCAGAUGAAACUGCCGUCGAAAGGCGGAGGAAGGUGAGGAUGACGUCAAGUCCUCAUGGCCCUUACGUCCUGGGCUACACACGUGCUACAAUGGCCGGUACAAAGGGUUGCCAAGCCGCGAGGUGGAGCCAAUCCCAAAAAAACCGGUCUCAGUUCGGAUUGAAGUCUGAAACUCGACUUCAUGAAGUUGGAAUCGCUAGUAAUCGCGCAUCAGCACGGCGCGGUGAAUACGUUCCCGGGCCUUGUACACACCGCCCGUCACAUCACCCGAGUUGGUUGUACCCGAAGUCGCCGAGCUAACCGUAAGGAGGCAGGUGCCGAAGGUAAAGCUAGUAAGGGGGAUGAAGUUG